UUGAAACACCGGUUCUUGUCCGAUCACCGAAGUUAAGCAACAUUGAAUCUGCUCAGUAGCUAGAUGGGUGACCGUUUGAAAAUAGCAAGCGCUGUAAG